rnacentral:lncRNA from 1 species
UUAGCUUGGUUAGUUAGGUGGAGGAGGAGAAGAGGAUAAGAGGAGGAGGAGGAGAAGAGGAGAAGAAGAAGAGGAGUAGGAGGAGGAGGAGGAGAAGAAGAAGAAGAAGAAGAAGAAGAAGAGGAGAAGAAAAAAAUAAGAAGGAGAAGAAGAAGAAGAAGAAGAAGAAGAAGAAGAAGAAGAAGAAGAAGAAGAGAAGAAAAAAAUAAGAAGGAGAAGAAGAGAAGAAGAAGAGAAUAAGAAAAAAAUAAGAAGGAGAAGAAGAGAAAAAAGAAGAAGAAGUUGAUUUUUUAUUGUUUGAUAUUCAGUGGUAGCUAGAUUCUUUUUUAGUUACUUAGUGGUAGAUUUUGUUUUUGUUAUAGUGGUAGAUUUUGUUUUUGUUAUUUUUUUGCUGCUUAGUGCUAUCUAGGUUUAGCGAUAGGUUUAGUUAGCUUGG